rnacentral:rRNA from 1 species
UAGAGUUUGAUCCUGGCUCAGAUUGAACGCUGGCGGCAGGCCUAACACAUGCAAGUCGAGCGGUAGAGAGAAGCUUGCUUCUCUUGAGAGCGGCGGACGGGUGAGUAAUGCCUAGGAAUCUGCCUGGUAGUGGGGGAUAACGUUCGGAAACGGACGCUAAUACCGCAUACGUCCUACGGGAGAAAGCAGGGGACCUUCGGGCCUUGCGCUAUCAGAUGAGCCUAGGUCGGAUUAGCUAGUUGGUGAGGUAAUGGCUCACCAAGGCGACGAUCCGUAACUGGUCUGAGAGGAUGAUCAGUCACACUGGAACUGAGACACGGUCCAGACUCCUACGGGAGGCAGCAGUGGGGAAUAUUGGACAAUGGGCGAAAGCCUGAUCCAGCCAUGCCGCGUGUGUGAAGAAGGUCUUCGGAUUGUAAAGCACUUUAAGUUGGGAGGAAGGGUUGUAGAUUAAUACUCUGCAAUUUUGACGUUACCGACAGAAUAG